UUAAUUAAGCCAAACAUUUUCUAUACAAUCAGUAAUUUGAUAAAAAUUGUAUAUUAAGGGCAUAUGAUAGAGUUGAUGUUGCUAAUGUAAAAUGUUAUUUUUGCCAUUCAAUGGGAGAUAACUCAUAAUUUACCUUUAUAAACAAUGGAAUAUAUUUAAAUUAUUAUUUUUGUGGAGUUGAAAAUUCAAUCAAUAAACUUAAGACUUACUGUUUUUGAUUUUAAUCUUUUAUAUUGAUUUUACAGUUAUUUAUGUUAUAGUAAGAAAUUGGAAUAAUGUUUGGUAAAUGUCAGGGAAAUUGAAAUAUAAAGUAUAUAAAUUGUAAAUUUUCAUAUAUUUCAGGUUUUUUUUGUGAGAUUUUUUCAUGGUGUGGGAAUAAGACUUGGAGGUCUAAUACAGCUAGUAUAUAGAUUAGCAUCAGCUUGUCUGUAAGGAUUGAGGCUGAGAAUGGCCAUUGGAGCUGACUAAUAUGGUGACUUCAACUGUGGCUGCAGGAAAUUAUUGUGCAAUACAACUGAAACCAAAAAGAAUGUAAUUCAGACUAUUUUUGUGUAUGUUUUAAAAAAUGUUCAUAUUUUUUUACCAAAAAAAAAAUUGAAAAAUUGUAAAGAUUCUCCAUUUUCAACAAAGCUGGAAGUUGUUGGCUAAAUUGAUACUUCAUAAUUUUCCGAUUUUACUUUUAGACCUACUCUUGAUAUCUUAAUUAUGGUCAAUGUGUUAUCAAACAUUUCCAGAAGGUUAAAAAUGGAGAAUCUAAAAAAAAAAAGAAAAAUAAUGU